rnacentral:rRNA from 1 species
UACGUAGGUGGCGAGCGUUGUCCGGAUUUAUUGGGCGUAAAGGGCGCGCAGGUGGUGCGGUAAGGCUGCCGUGAAAUCUCCCGGCUCAACUGGGAGGGUGCGGUGGCGACUGCCGGACUGGAGGCACUCAGAGGCCGGUGGAAUUCCCGGUGUAGUGGUGAAAUGCGUAGAGAUCGGGAGGAACACCAGUGGCGAAGGCGGCCGG